GGGCCGUUAGCUCAUUUGGUAGAGCGCUUCCAUGGCAUGGAAGAGGUAAGGAGUUCGAUUCUCCUACGGUCCA
rnacentral:tRNA from 1 species